GCGGCGUGCCUAAUACAUGCAAGUAGAACGCUGAAGAGAGGAGCUUGCUCUUCUUGGAUGAGUUGCGAACGGGUGAGUAACGCGUAGGUAACCUGCCUUGUAGCGGGGGAUAACUAUUGGAAACGAUAGCUAAUACCGCAUAACAAUGGAUGACACAUGUCAUUUAUUUGAAAGGGGCAAUUGCUCCACUACAAGAUGGACCUGCGUUGUAUUAGCUAGUAGGUGAGGUAACGGCUCACCUAGGCGACGAUACAUAGCCGACCUGAGAGGGUGAUCGGCCACACUGGGACUGAGACACGGCCCAGACUCCUACGGGAGGCAGCAGUAGGGAAUCUUCGGCAAUGGGGGCAACCCUGACCGAGCAACGCCGCGUGAGUGAAGAAGGUUUUCGGAUCGUAAAGCUCUGUUGUAAGUCAAGAACGAGUGUGAGAGUGGGAAGUUCACACUGUGACGGUAGCUUACCAGAAAGGGACGGCUAACUACGUGCCAGCAGCCGCGGUAAUACGUAGGUCCCGAGCGUUGUCCGGAUUUAUUGGGCGUAAAGCGAGCGCAGGCGGUUUGAUAAGUCUGAAGUUAAAGGCUGUGGCUCAACCAUAGUUCGCUUUGGAAACUGUCAAACUUGAGUGCAGAAGGGGAGAGUGGAACUCCAUGUGUAGCGGUGAAAUGCGUAGAUAUAUGGAGGAACACCGGUGGCGAAAGCGGCUCUCUGGUCUGUAACUGACGCUGAGGCUCGAAAGCGUGGGGAGCGAACAGGAUUAGAUACCCUGGUAGUCCACGCCGUAAACGAUGAGUGCUAGGUGUUGGAUCCUUUCCGGGAUUCAGUGCCGCAGCUAACGCAUUAAGCACUCCGCCUGGGGAGUACGACCGCAAGGUUGAAACUCAAAGGAAUUGACGGGGGCCCGCACAAGCGGUGGAGCAUGUGGUUUAAUUCGAAGCAACGCGAAGAACCUUACCAGGUCUUGACAUCCCGAUGCUAUUUCUAGAGAUAGAAAGUUACUUCGGUACAUCGGUGACAGGUGGUGCAUGGUUGUCGUCAGCUCGUGUCGUGAGAUGUUGGGUUAAGUCCCGCAACGAGCGCAACCCCUAUUGUUAGUUGCCAUCAUUCAGUUGGGCACUCUAGCGAGACUGCCGGUAAUAAACCGGAGGAAGGUGGGGAUGACGUCAAAUCAUCAUGCCCCUUAUGACCUGGGCUACACACGUGCUACAAUGGUUGGUACAACGAGUUGCGAGUCGGUGACGGCAAGCUAAUCUCUUAAAGCCAAUCUCAGUUCGGAUUGUAGGCUGCAACUCGCCUACAUGAAGUCGGAAUCGCUAGUAAUCGCGGAUCAGCACGCCGCGGUGAAUACGUUCCCGGGCCUUGUACACACCGCCCGUCACACCACGAGAGUUUGUAACACCCGAAGUCGGUGAGGUAACCUUUUGGAGCCAGCCGCCUAAGGUGGGAUAGAUGAUUGGGGUGAAGU
rnacentral:rRNA from 1 species